AAGUCGUAACAAGGUUUCCGUAGGUGAACCUGCGGAAGGAUCAUUAAUUAAUUUUGUUUCUCAUUUUUGAGGACAUAUUUAUUGUGCAAUUAUAAAAGUUGUGGUUCUCGCCAUACACUCACUAUUUAAUAUUGGAUUACUAUUGUUCUGUAAAGAAUAAAUAUUAUAAUUAUAAACAACUUUUAACAACGGAUCUCUUGGCUCUCC
rnacentral:misc_RNA from 1 species